GUCUAUGGCCAUACCACCCUGAAUGCACCUGAUCUCAUCCAAUAUUCUAAGCUAAGCAGGGUCAGUCCUGAUUAGUACCUGGAUGGGAAACCACCUGGGAAUAUCAGGUGCUGUAGGAU
ensembl:rRNA 5S_rRNA 5S ribosomal RNA